UUGACGUAAAACUUAACACCAACUAAUGUGUUGCUUGCAGAUGUAAAGAGAGAAGAGGCCUUGAUCUUGUAGUAAAAUGGAUCAAGGCCGUGAUUGGUCUCCCCGACCCAGAACCCCCAUGGUGGAGACCGGCUGUGUGCAAAUGGGUCAAUCGGGAACCACAUGGUUAUGUCGAGGCUUUUGUGAUCGUCACAGCGUUGCUGCUUUUGUAUAGCAUGUGUUGGAGAAGGAAGAAGAAAACUAGACACCGACAAGGCAGGAAGUUAUGCAACAGGAAGCUUUCCCUGGAACCACAGAAA